rnacentral:rRNA from 1 species
CGAUUCUGGCUCAGGAUGAACGCUAGCUACAGGCUUAACACAUGCAAGUCGAGGGGCAGCGAGAGGAAAGCUUGCUUCCUUGUCGGCGACCGGCGCACGGGUGAGUAACGCGUAUCCAACCUUCCCCAUAGUAGAGGAUAGCCCGGCGAAAGUCGGAUUAAUACUCUAUGUUGUGUCAUGAGGACAUCUGAAUAACACUAAAGAUUUAUCGCUAUGGGAUGGGGAUGCGUCUGAUUAGCUUGUUGGCGGGGUAACGGCCCACCAAGGCGACGAUCAGUAGGGGUUCUGAGAGGAAGGUCCCCCACAUUGGUACUGAGACACGGACCAAACUCCUACGGGAGGCAGCAGUGAGGAAUAUUGGUCAAUGGACGAGAGUCUGAACCAACCAAGUAGCGUGCAAGGGAUGACUGCCCUAUGGGUUGUAAACUGCUUUUAUGCGGGAAUAAAGUCAGGUACGCGUACCUGUUUGUAUGUACCGCAUGAAUAAGGACCGGCUAAUUCCGUGCCAGCAGCGGC